CUUUGUUUUCCUUCUUGUUAUCCUAAUUCCACCGAACACCCAAUCCUUGAAAAAAAAAAUUCAUCGGCGAGCUUUUUCGGUGAAUCAACACUCCUAUUCUCUUCCUCUCAUUCUUCUGAGCUUGGUGGCGAGGCAUCUUCCAAGGGGAAGGAAACUUCCGACCAGUGAGCGUGUCUCGAGGCGAGAUGACUGGUUCAAUGAUGACCUUAUAGCGGAGGUUGAUGCCGAACUAGCAAGCGAAGAGGUAACUUAUGAUGAAUAUUGUACUCAUAGAAAUAAUAGUGAAGAUUCUGCUCAAGGAGAGCAUUUAAGAGAUGAAUUUUCUGCUACAAUGUGGAGAGAUUACACAUCACAAUAAUUUAUAGACUUAAUUAACUUUGUCUUUACAUUAAUUUUCCUUUUGCUUCUUUGUUGUGUUUGAUUUCUUAUUGUUUGUUAUGUUUGAUCUCCUUUGAAUUACAGAUGUUGUAGGUUUUUAUGCAAAACUUAUUGAGGUUUGGUAUUCUAAUAGAUUUGUUAUUAUGAAAAUAACGCUUCUCUUUAUUUUAAUUUUAUAUACUUGUGAAUUAUUUUGCCUUGAACAGCAUGCCAUCCAAAAAUAAUGACAUGAGGGAAGGAAGCACAUCAAAAAUGCUAAUAUGGACACCUGCAAUGAAUGCAGCAUUAGUUGAUGCAUUUCUAAAUCAAGAUAACAUGGGGUUGAAAGGCUUAUGAUAAUAUUGUUGAUGAACUUGCAAAAAAUUUGAACGUCAAGAUUGAAAAGAAUCAAGUGAAGAGUCGAUGGAAGAUCUUAAAAAAACAUUUCUCCGAUGCUUAUGAUAUCUUCAAGAAUGGCAUGAGUGGAUUUACCAUAGAUCCAAUAACACAAAUAUGGAUAGCUGAACCAGAAGUAUGGAAUGAUCUCACCAAGGUGAAGCCUCAAGCUACGAUAUAUAUGCAAACUACUGUUCCACACUAUGAUAAAUGGUCAUUUUGUAUGGGAAGGAUAGAGCUACAGGAAAUCAUUUUGUAACGGCUUCAGAGUUACAAAAGCGUCCAAGUUUCAUCACUAUGGAGAUUUUAUUGAUGUUGAUCCUACUAUGUCUCAAUUUUCAGGUCAAAAUGCACAACAUUUUGUAAAUGAUGAUGUGGGCAUGGUGCCACCUUCACCUUUUGAGCAUGUCUCUCCUUCUUCUCAUGGUGCUAGUGGUGGCAACAAAAAGUCCUAAAACUUUGUUGAUAAAGAGAAAGAGGUUUUGGUGAAGGGAUGAAAAAUGCAAUAGAGAAAGUGGCAAAGGUUGUGAAGGCAUUGGGAAUUCAAAAGG